GAUGAACGCUGGCGGCGUGCCUAAUACAUGCAAGUCGAGCGAAUGGAUUAAGAGCUUGCUCUUAUGAAGUUAGCGGCGGACGGGUGAGUAACACGUGGGUAACCUGCCCAUAAGACUGGGAUAACUCCGGGAAACCGGGGCUAAUACCGGAUAAUAUUUUGAACUGCAUGGUUCAAAAUUGAAAGGCGGCUUCGGCUGUCACUUAUGGAUGGACCCGCGUCGCAUUAGCUAGUUGGUGAGGUAACGGCUCACCAAGGCAACGAUGCGUAGCCGACCUGAGAGGGUGAUCGGCCACACUGGGACUGAGACACGGCCCAGACUCCUACGGGAGGCAGCAGAAGGGAAUCUUCCGCAAUGGACGAAAGUCUGACGGAGCAACGCCGCGUGAGCGAUGAAGGCUUUCGGGUCGUAAAACUCUGCUGUUAGGGAAGAACAAGUGCUAGUUGAAUAAGCUGGCACCUUGACGGUACCUAACCAGAAAGCCACGGCUAACUACGUGCCAGCCGCCGCGGUAA
rnacentral:rRNA from 1 species